rnacentral:rRNA from 1 species
GACAGAGGGUGCAAACGUUGCUCGGAAUCACUGGGCGUAAAGGGCGUGUAGGCGGGAAGGAUAGUCAGAUGUGAAAUCCCUGGGCUCAACCCAGGAACUGCAUUUGAAACUCCCUUUCUUGAGUGCUGGAGAGGAAGGCGGAAUUCCUGGUGUAGAGGUGAAAUGCGCAGAUAUCAGGAGGAACACCAAUGGCGAAGGCAGCUCGCUGGGACGGUACUGACGCUGAGGCGCGAAAGCGUGGGGAGCAAACAGG